rnacentral:rRNA from 1 species
GAUGAACGCUGGCGGCGUGCCUAAUACAUGCAAGUCGAGCGAACAGACGAGGAGCUUGCUCCUCUGACGUUAGCGGCGGACGGGUGAGUAACACGUGGAUAACCUACCUAUAAGACUGGGAUAACUUCGGGAAACCGGAGCUAAUACCGGAUAAUAUAUUGAACCGCAUGGUUCAAUAGUGAAAGACGGUUUUGCUGUCACUUAUAGAUGGAUCCGCGCCGCAUUAGAUAGUUGGUAAGGUAACGGCUUACCAAGGCAACGAUGCGUAGCCGCCCUGAGAGGGUGAUCGGCCACACUGGAACUGAGACACGGUCCAGACUCCUACGGGAGGCAGAAGUAGGGAAUCUUCCGCAAUGGGCGAAAGCCUGACGGAGCAACGCCGCGUGAGUUAUGAAGGUCUUCGGAUCGUAAAACUCUGUUAUUAGGGAAGAACAAAUGUGUAAGUAACUAUGCACGUCUUGACGGUACCUAAUCAGAAAGCCACGGCUAACUACGUG